rnacentral:rRNA from 1 species
ACUCCUACGGGAGGCAGCAGUAAGGAAUAUUGGUCAAUGGGCGGAAGCCUGAACCAGCCAUGCCGCGUGCAGGAUGACUGCCCUAUGGGUUGUAAACUGCUUUUGUCCAGGAAUAAACCUAUAUACGUGUAGAUAGCUGAAUGUACUGGAAGAAUAAGGAUCGGCUAACUCCGUGCCAGCAGCCGCGGUAAUACGGAGGAUCCGAGCGUUAUCCGGAUUUAUUGGGUUUAAAGGGUGCGUAGGCGGCCUAUUAAGUCAGGGGUGAAAUACGGUGGCUCAACCAUCGCAGUGCCUUUGAUACUGAUGGGCUUGAAUCCAUUUGAAGUGGGCGGAAUAAGACAAGUAGCGGUGAAAUGCAUAGAUAUGUCUUAGAACUCCGAUUGCGAAGGCAGCUCACUAAGCUGGUAUUGACGCUGAUGCACGAAAGCGUGGGGAUCGAACAGGAUUAGAUACCCUGGUAGUCCACGCCCUAAACGAUGAUAACUCGAUGUUGGCGAUAGACAGCCAGCGUCCCAGCGAA